UAUAAAAUAAAUUAAUCAUUGAGGAAAUGUUUCUCUUCGUGUUCGAAUGUAUUGUUCAUGUUGGCCCGGCUGUUAUUUGUAAAUGUAUUGUAUUAUAUUUCUGUCAUCGGUAUCUAUGUCGGAGCGGAGAAACUAUUUCAUAGUAAACUGGUUCACAGAUAACCAACUAGUGAGAUAAUCUGAAUCGAGGCAAUGACCCGCUGGAUCAAAAUAUUCUUUUCCCUAAAGUAUUUUUUCAGAGUUCUGGUACCACUUCUCCCAGGAAGCAUGAGAAGUGAAUGGAUUGAGGGAAGGGCUUAUGCAUCCAUUGAAUUCUUAGUCACAUUUGCAAGGUCUCCUUAACUACACAGCCAGUGGCAAAACUUAUUAGGUGUGGGUAACAACAGUACAUCGACUAUUAUUUUGCGACGCUGAUGGUGAGAUGCUCAGACCUUCUUCGACUCUCUUCUUACGCUUUAUCCAAACAAUCCAGUCACUGUUCAAUAUGUAAUACUUUUAAAUUUCUCUACAAUA